CGCUCCUGCGUGGCGUCGCGUUUCGUUGUCUGCGCGCGGAUGUGCGCGACGUGUAAGCCACGAGUAGCUUCGCCAGGUCGGUUUCAGAUCGCUUUAACCUGGGCUUUGGUGUUUCUCUUCUCUUCCUUCUGUGUUCUUUUCAUCGCGCCGGCAGGGUUCGCUCAGUGGGUUAUCUGUUCUUCCUCUUCGUCAGCUGAGCUGCGGCGGGUCGUGCGGGUUUGGGUGGUGCUGCAGUGGUGGCUGAGCUGCGGCGGUGCGUGCAGGUUUGGGUGGCGCUGCGGUGGCCGCCCGUCUUUUUCGCGCCGGCUCUUUCUCGCUGGUGUGUCAUUCUAGAGGCACUCGAUGCUGAUUUGCUGCAAGAACUCCCAGCCCGAGGACGCUUGGCGUAGGUUGUGUCGCCGCUAUCGCCGUUACACUCCACCCGACGACCGCUUGGACGAGUAGACGGGAAAUUGUAGUAAGAUACACUGUCUCAUUUUAUCAUUGUUGCUUCAGACCUUCAGUAACACAUUGCAUAGUCUGUGCCAUCAAAUUAAAUCUGCAAGAGCCCAUAAAAUAUAUUCACGGUAAUGUACUGUAUAAUAUUUUCGUGAUUGUGGCUCGCAGCCAACUCCUAAAAACUUAAUCUUAUUGAUAUGUAAGAGGUCAGCAUUCUCUAUGGUGUUCCACAUAAAAAUUUAGACAUGUUUUCCUACAUAGAAGCCGUACAUUUGUACAGACAGUCAUGUAUUUCUUAUAUUUGAUUUAGUUUUAUUCCAAUAAGUAUCUUGGUUUGAACUAUUUUCCUACAACUGGUAUCUGAAAUUGUUCUUUUUCUACGAGGAGGUGACUAAGAGAACUAUGAAAGUGAGGAUUGAUGAUAGCAGCAUAAGCCUGGUGCGCUAUACUAUCCCAAAGCUAGAUUUCUUCUGUUACAAAUCAUUAUUGUUUUCAUUUUUUUCUUCUUGCACAAUCACUCUAAUAUUCCAGGAUUUUUUCUUUGUUAGUAAAAGUUGUAGUUGCACUUUGUUUACAAAAACUCUCUGUAGCUUUGACCAUGAAAUUGUUGAGAAUAAGCAAACAAGGAAGCUAUGAUUCGCUGAAUUUAAUUUGCAGAUGUGGAUCUUUUACUCCCACAACAAUUAGUCAUAAAUUUCUUUGACAUUAUUGUAAGACGGUAUCUUAUAAAUAGUCCUUACGAGGUUACCUAAAGAUCUACAGCAUGUACACCAUUGAAUGAAGAUGUUGCUCUGGUCAAGACAGGUACCUGACCUCCAAGAACUUAGUGGCAAGCAAAUUAACUGCAUCCAAAGUAUGACUCAUUUUUCUCAUAUGAAUUGUGCUUAUGACGUGUUAAUGAAACUUUUUAUAGAAUUAAUCUAUCAUGUAUGGACAUCGUUAACCAUUUUUUUAAUUACAUAGUACGACAAUCUCUAUUUACGUUUUUGCAUGACUUCCGGUUUUCUUGCAGCAUUGUUCAGUAAGUUUUUCUUUCAUACAUAGAAUACAAGCCACGAGAGAUGAUUUUGUGCACCUGGGCGUGCAUACACCAGGUUGAUUUGAAAUAGUAAAAACAUGCAUGUGUAAGUUCAUAGACGUUCUGAAAUGAUGUUGGAUAUUGCUGGAUGUUUGAACAUAUGAAAUUUGAGCCAAAAUUAUAUGUGUUUGAGUUCUCUGUAGGAGAAUAAAGGAGAGAGCGUCUAAAAUAGAUCAUGGAAAUAUACUCAAUUAGUUUAAUUCGUGGAGCAUGCAAAAUAAAAUUUAUUGGACGAACUUAGUUUAGAACAGUAUGUAUUCCUAAAUUGGACUGUACAAAACCCAAUUUUUGUUUUCUGCAUGUUGGUUACCUAGCUUCUAGGAAGACUGGUCGAAUAAUGUUUUUUCGUUAGUUCCUCUUUUGGGUAUGGACGUGGUAUGUGCCUGUCCCUGCAUACAUUUCAUCUUUUGUGGUUCAAGUAUUAUGUACCUACAGCUAAAUAUUAUUGGCUAGCCUCUAGGAAGACUGAUUGAAUAAUUUUUUUUCCGUUAGUUCCUCUCAAGUCUUUUGGGUAUGGAUGUGGUAUGUGCCUGUCCCCGCACACAUUUCAUCUUUUGUGGUUCAAGUAUGUACCUACAGCUAAAUAUUAUUGGUGUGCUGCAAGUUUUAUCUAUUCUGUUUACUCGCAGUUUUAUGUUGCAAGUAGAAGUAUAGUGGAUUGUCUCAUUGUAGCAAGGCGUGCGUUCUCUUCCAUCUAACCUAUCUCAUCAUUCCGGUUCACCAACUGAAAGAAUUAAUCAGUUUUGCCCGCCCUAUGGUUAACCAUGAGAAACCACCACCUGUUUUAGUGAUAAUCAUUUAAUAACAUAUUCUCUUUUUUUUCAUGUCUAACUUUCUAUUCUGUAUACAAUAGUCGCUCCAUUUCUAAAUAUAUUAUGUUUUGGCAAGUCUAUUUAACUUACGAAAAAAUCUUAUGCUUAGAAACGGAGGGAGUAUAUACAUGUUCAUGACUAUGAAUGUAAGAUCAUAACUAUCUUUGUGUUCUCACUAACAUUGUUGUGUUGAUAGUGUCAAAGCUUCGACUAAUGGGACCAAGUGGAAAAUUUAAUAAAAUUUGGGCAUCUCUUUAAUUUCACAAUUGCUGAGAGUGAUCAUUCUCUGAUUGAAAAAGUUCUAAGUUUUGCGUGAGGAUGUUUGUGUUCAGGUGGUAGUUAACGGUGGAUACCAUGCAAAGACUAUAUGGCUAAUGAUGAAUUGAUAGUGUCUAAACGGUUAUUUCAAUUUAUUUUUCUGCUUGGACUUCUGUAAAUACCUAGGCUACUAACUAUAUGAAAGCAUAUAUUUAGCUCAAAUGUGAGAUAUGUUGACUGUUCUGAUCCGAAUGAUUUUUGUUUCUGAAUUUUUCUUCAGAUAUUCGAGCUCAUAAACUUACAGAAGUCUGAUAACGAUGAAGUGGGAUCUUAGAUUAAAAACAUCAUGUUUGUACAAUAAACAGAUACUACUUAUGGUUGAUAAAAUAUUUAUGGUCUUCAUACUUGAAACAUGCGUCCUUUAUGUCCCAUGUGGCUAAAUUGAUAUAAAAUUGUGUACUUUGUUGUC